CGCUGGCGGCGUGCCUAACACAUGCAAGUCGAACGGGGAUUUGUUUCGGCAGAAUCCUAGUGGCGAACGGGUGAGUAACGCGUAGGCAACCUGCCCUCCGGCCGGGGACAACACUCCGAAAGGGGUGCUAAUACCGGAUACGAAGUCUGUGCCGCAUGGUACGGAUUUGAAAGAUGGCCUCUGUUUACAAGCUAUCGCCGGGGGAUGGGCCUGCGUCCGAUUAGCUGGUUGGUGGGGUAACGGCCUACCAAGGCGACGAUCGGUAGCCGGUCUGAGAGGAUGAACGGCCACAUUGGGACUGAGACACGGCCCAGACUCCUACGGGAGGCAGCAGUGGGGAAUCUUCCGCAAUGGGCGCAAGCCUGACGGAGCAACGCCGCCGUGAGUGAGGAAGUUCUUCGGAACGUAAAGCUCUGUUGUUCCUGACGAACCUCCCCUCUAUCAACAACGGAGGGGACUGACGGUAGGGAACGAGGAAGCCACGGCUAACUACGUGCCAGCCGCCGC
rnacentral:rRNA from 1 species